GUCGUGAGACAGUUCGGUCCCUAUCUGCCGUGGGCGCUGGAGAAUUGAGGGGGGCUGCUCCUAGUACGAGAGGACCGGAGUGGACGCAUCACUGGUGUUCGGGUUGUCAUGCCAAUGGCACUGCCCGGUAGCUAAAUGCGGAAGAGAUAAGUGCUGAAAGCAUCUAAGCACGAAACUUGCCCCGAGAUGAGUUCUCCCUGAGACUAUAAGUCUCCUGAAGGAACGUUAAAGACGAUGACGUUGAUAGGCCGGGUGUGUAAGCGCAGCGAUGCGUUGAGCUAACCGGUACUAAUGAACCGUGAGGCUUAACCUUACAACGCCGAAG
rnacentral:rRNA from 1 species